rfam:Danio rerio chromosome 20, GRCz11 reference primary assembly.
GUCAGAAUGGCCGAGUGGUCUAAGGUGCCAAACUCAAGUUUAAUCAAUUUUCUCAAGAUAUGAGGGUUCUGGUCUCCAGAUGGAGGCGUGGGUUCGAAUCCCUUUUCUGACA